rnacentral:rRNA from 1 species
UGGGGAAUCUUGCGCAAUGGGCGAAAGCCUGACGCAGCCAUGCCGCGUGAAUGAUGAAGGUCUUAGGAUUGUAAAGUUCUUUCGCUCGUGACGAUGAUGACGGUAACGAGAGAAGAAGCCCCGGCUAACUUCGUGCCAGCAGCCGCGGUAAUACGAAGGGGGCUAGCGUUGUUCGGAUUUACUGGGCGUAAAGCGCGUGUAGGCGGGUCGUUAAGUUGGGGGUGAAAUCCCGAGGCUCAACCUCGGAACUGCCUUCAAAACUGGCGACCUGGACCUAAGUAGAGGCAAGUGGAAUUGCGAGUGUAGAGGUGAAAUUCGUAGAUAUUCGCAGGAACACCAGUGGCGAAGGCGACUUGCUGGACUUAUGGUGACGCUGAGACGCGAAAGCGUGGGGGGCAAACAGGAUUAGAUACCCAUGUAGUCCCUGAGCGGGCUGGCAAGGCGCAU